AUGAAAGUUCAACCGCCCAUAAACAACCAAUCAUCCAUCACAACUAGCUAUUCAGAUUCGGGCCCAUACCCCCCAAAUAAAGUCUUCAACUCCAACUCCACAUCUGCUGAACUUCUAACCAUCCACUCAUGUCAGCAGCAGUACUUAACAAAAUUAGACUAUUGUGCAAUAACGACGAGUCCAUCCACUGUUUAA